UUACGGCUAUAUCACGUUGAAACACCGGUUCUCGCAAGAUCAGGGAAGUUAAGCAACGUCGAAUCUUGUCAAUAUCGAGAUAGGUGAUCGCUUGGGAAUACCAAGUGCUGUAAG